GACCGAGGGUGCAAACGUUGUUCGGAAUUACUGGGCGUAAAGCGCGUGUAGGCGGCCCUGCAAGUCGGGUGUGAAAUCCCAUGGCUCAACCAUGGAAGUGCACUCGAAACUGCAGGGCUAGAGUCCUGGAGAGGAAGGUGGAAUGCUUGGUGUAGAGGUGAAAUUCGUAGAUAUCAAGCGGAACACCGGUGGCGAAGGCGGCCUUCUGGACAGUGACUGACGCUGAGACGCGAAAGCGUGGGGAGCAAACAGG
rnacentral:rRNA from 1 species